rnacentral:rRNA from 1 species
UACGUAGGUGGCAAGCGUUGUUCGGAAUUAUUGGGCGUAAAGGGCGCGUAGGCGGUUUGUUAAGUCGGCUGUGAAAGCCCGGGGCUCAACCCCGGAGGGUCAGCCGAUACUGGCAGACUAGAGUACGGAAGAGGUAGCUGGAAUUCCCGGUGUAGCGGUGAAAUGCGUAGAGAUCAGGCGGAACACCCGUGGCGAAGGCGGCCAGCUGGGCCGUCCCUGACGCUGAGGCGCGAAGGCGUGGGGAGCGAACGGG